GUAUAAGAGACAGCAGCAGCCGCGGGAAUACGAGGGGGGCAAGCGUUGUUCGGAAUUAUUGGGCGUAAAGGGUGCAUAGGCGGCCCCGCAAGUCUCAUGUGAAAUCUUCAGGCUCAACUUGAAGUCUGCAUGGGAAACUGCGGGGCUGGAGUAUGGGAGAGGUGAGUGGAAUUCCUGGUGUAGCGGUGAAAUGCGUAGAUAUCAGGAGGAACACCUGUGGCGAAAGCGGCUCACUGGACCAUAACUGACGCUGAGGCACGAAAGCUAGGGGAGCAAACAGGAUUAGAUACCCCAGUAGUCCCUGUCUCUUAUAU
rnacentral:rRNA from 1 species